rnacentral:lncRNA from 11 species
GCUGAAUCCCAUCAUUAUGCACAUAUGACCCAGAAUCCUCAUCAGAGUCACACAAAGGCAAAGGCUGAGUCACAACAGGGAGGACUUUUCUCUCCCUCUUCCUCGGGCUGCCGCAGGAGGAUGUGAAGGAGGAGGCAGAUGCAGCGGCAGAGACAGCCAUGGAAGAGGAGAGAAAGAAGUUGCCACUAGAAAAGCUGAACAGAGACGGAAAGGAAGACGAGUGAGUGAGUAGUCUUCAUGUUUUGGUUUCUUUCACCCUUCUAAGGUUCUAUUACUAGU